rnacentral:rRNA from 1 species
GAUGAACGCUGGCGGCGUGCCUAAUACAUGCAAGUCGAGCGAACGGACGAGAAGCUUGCUUCUCUGAUGUUAGCGGCGGACGGGUGAGUAACACGUGGAUAACCUACCUAUAAGACUGGGAUAACUUCGGGAAACCGGAGCUAAUACCGGAUAAUAUUUUGAACCGCAUGGUUCAAAAGUGAAAGACGGUCUUGCUGUCACUUAUAGAUGGAACCGCGCUGCAUUAGCUAGUUGGUAAGGUAACGGCUUACCAAGGCAACGAUGCAUAGCCGACCUGAGAGGGUGAUCGGCCACACUGGAACUGAGACACGGUCCAGACUCCUACGGGAGGCAGCAGUAGGGAAUCUUCCGCAAUGAGCGAAAGCCUGACGGAGCAACGCCGCGUGAGUGAUGAAGGUCUUCGGAUCGUAAAACUCUGUUAUUAGGGAAGAACAUAUGUGUAAGUAACUGUGCACAUCUUGACGGUACCUAAUCAGAAAGCCACGGCUAACUACGUG